CGUCAGUCUAGUGAGGUCUUAGCUUAGUAAAAGUGUCUGAGUUGCAUUCAGGAGAUGCGUAUUAGAAUUACGCAGGCUUU
rnacentral:tRNA from 1 species